UGUCCAUGGGGAGGGAUCUACAUCAUCUGCUCCCCUGAAGGAUCUGGAGAGCCCGUGCCAAGAACUAGCAGUCGUCCUGGACUCAAGGUCCGUAAAAAUCAGUAAACUGAAUAACACCAUCAAAUCUUUGAAACAACAGAAGAAACAAGUGGAACAUCAGCUGGAAGAAGUAACGUGAUUUCUUUGUUGCUCGACAUGACUGCUGGUUUGGGGGCACUCAGAUGUAGAAGCCCCAGUCUCGUCUCACCCACUCCCAGCCUGGCAAAGAAGGCUCACCCUUCAGAUUCCACCCCAUCCCCACAGGGUCCCUGAUAAACUGGUCCCAUGGGUGGGCCUGUCCUGGGGCAUUGGUGGCAUUCUGGGGGCAUGUCUCUUGCUGUGCCUUCUCUGCCUGCCCCUGGUAAGAGCUUUGUCUUCCUCUUCCUACAGGAAAAGAAGGCAAACAAUGAGAAACAGAAAGCCAAAAGGGAGCUAGAGGUUCAAAUCCAGAGAUUGAAUGUACAGAAAGAGAAACUAAAUACGGACCUGUAUCACAUGAAAUGUUCUCUCAGAUACUUUGAAGAAGAGUCCAAGCAUCUGGCUGGCUGCCUGCAAUAUACAUUGCAGUGUAAGGAGAGUUAGAACGGGCUCUCUGUGCUGUCGCCGCCACCAGAGAAGAAGGAUGGCAGUUCUCGAGCCUCAGUAAAGCACUUAUUGAGUGGCAUUUAGAGCAGUCCAUACAGGAGAAGGCACAGCUGAAAGCACACCUGACACAGUUGAAAGAGUCGCUUAAACAAGUCCAGCUAGAGACAGAUGAAUAUGCUCAACAUAUAAAAGGAGAGAGGGCCCGGUGGCAGCAGAGAAUGAGGAAAAUGUCACAGGAGGUUUGCACAUUGAAAAAGGAGAAGAAGCAUGAUACACAUCGGCUACAGGAGCUGGAGAGGAGCUUGUCCAAACUCAAAAACCAGAUGGUGGAACCCCUGUCCCUGGAGCCCCCAGCAGUGCCCUCUGAGGUGGAGCUGCAGCACCUGAGGAAGGAACUGGAGAGAGUGGCAGGAGAGCUCCAGGCCCAGAUUGAAAACAAUCAGCUCAUAAGUUUCCUGAAACAGGAGCAAAAGGAGAGGCUCCAGGAGCAGGAGGAGAGGCUUCAGCAGCUGGUCGAGCCACAGAGUGGCUUCAAGGAGCUGAACAACGAGAACAAGAGCACACUGCAGUUGGAGCAGCAAGUAAAGGAGCUGCAGGAGAAGCUGGAUGAGGAGUGCCUGGAAGCUGCCAGCCAGCAGAACCAGCAGCUACAGGCCCAGUUAAGCCCACGGCUCUCCCUGGGGAAGAACUCCUGGCCGCUGCCCAGAACCCUGCUGAUGAGCCUGGUCCAGGAGCCCCAGCCCCCCAGGAGCUUAGGGCUGCUGACAAGCAUGGUGAUCUUUGUGAGGUGAGCCUCACGGACAGCAUGGAGCCUGUGCAAGGAGAGGCCAGGGAGGGUGCUCCCCAUGACAACCCUACUGCACAGCCAAUCGUGCAGGAGUACCAUGAGCACCUAGGCUUGGGCAGCAACCCCUGUGUGGCAUUCUUUUGCUGGGCUUGGCUGCUAAGAAGAAGGAGAUAAAUAUCACCAUCAUCAAAGAGCUGGUCAACAAAUUUUUUAAAAAGAAACAAAGUUACGGGGUUAACUCCUACACAAUGCAUUUACUUCAUUUGAAUGUUAGAGCCACUCAUGAUUAUUUGUGUUUCUAAUUUAUAGUUUAAGUUUAUUUGUAAAAAGUUAAAAGACAGUGGGUCUCUGUGGCUUUCACUGAUGUUCACUCUGGCAUCCUUAGCAUUUUUCUUUUUUAAUUUCAUAAUUGUAGGUCAUUAGCAUUCAUAUCGAGUUUGCCCUUAUGUGGUAGGAGUUCAAACACACAAAGACCCACUAUUUGCCCAAAACUAUUCUUGUUGGUUUGGAAUAGGCUACCAUGCUUUUUAAAUGUUAUUGCAGCAUGUAUAUUCAUUACAGAAUUCAGAUAAAAUUUGCUUAUGUUCUGCUAUUUUUUGAUCUAAUCUUAAUCACAGUGAGCUCUUCAUUAGCUCAAUAUGUGGUUUGCCCCCAAGUGUGCACUGUUUAUUACUUUGUAAUAUGCCACUAUGAGUACUGACAUUUAGAGUUGUUUAAAGGCUGAGAAAUGGAAACCGCCUGUUCCCCAUUUUCUGUGUACUGUGACGGGAGUAAUAAUAUAUUGGAGGAGCUUUUUAAAUCUCACAGAAGAGGAAAGUGGCCUGCUCUGGCAGGUAUAUGCAGUACACAGUGUUUCAUUUGUUCCAGUGCCAAGAAUUAGCGCUGUACUAUGGUAGUUACCUUAGGAUUUGUAUGUGCUCUGGGCUCAUGAAGAUAUGGCAUCAUGAGCUGCAGCAGUUGUACUCUUUUUCAAUGACCUAAAAAGGGAUUAUUUCUGAGGAAUGAAAGGCUCCCGUCAUUGACUGUGGAUGUGGAAAACCUUUCCUAGCUUAGAGCAUUUGUAUCUAUAAUACAUUUUAAAGUGAGAGUUCAUGUUACCUGUUUUAAUCACAUGACUUCCUGUCCCAGUACACAAAAGGGCACUGGUUGGCAUUCUUCUUAAUGUAUUUAGUAAAGAUCAGAAGAAAUCCUUUAUGAGUUUAAAUGUCCCUGGAAGAGGCAUACAGGCUCUAGUCAAGAAUGAAUUAGGGUGAAGGAAAGCCAUGUGACACCUGGAAUUCCUCUCUGUUCACGGAGCUUCUUUGAGGCUUGAAGAUUGAUUUUACCAUCUAGACCUCUCUGGCUAAUACCUAUUCUUCAACCACCUUAGUUACUCUGACACAGGAAUUUACUUCUUUUCCUUGAAUGGAAAACACUUUAAAAAAUAAUAACAAGCAUUAUUACAAACUAAUAUAUGUGAGAGUACUUAGUUGAAACAAAAAGGAGUUUUAGUAGACAGUAUUACACUAUCUUUGAAAAUCAAGGAGAAGUUUAUGCAACUUAAAAUGUUUACAAACUGCAGUACAAUCUACUGUUUGUGAAUGUCAAUGUAUUAUCAGGAAACAUGUCUAUACAAUCACAGAGUUAUAUUUCCUCACAAAUUUCUUUACAAAGAGUGAAAUAUGUUUUUGUACCUCUCGGUUUCAGUUAGGGACAUAUUUUUUGAAUAUUUAUGUGAUUGUGCCUAUGCAUGAUGAAUGAAUGAAUUUCAGUGAUACAUUGCCUAAAUCAUAACUUAAUGAUGCUUGGGAAAGAAUCAACAGUUAAAACUUCAUGAAGAUCUAAUGUCUGUGUUCCAAAACACAUCACAUUAUUAGGAUGUAGGGAGAUGUGUAUGUGUGCUCCCUGGGGUGGGGAUCUCUAGUUACUAAACCAUCUCCAUUUUUAGCAUUUGGCAUCCUCAUGAUACUUUUAUAAAUAUGACAUUAACAGGAGAGCAACAAUAUGAUUUUACUG
rnacentral:sRNA from 1 species